GAUGAAGAACGCAGCGAAAUGCGAUACGUAAUGUGAAUUGCAGAAUUCAGUGAAUCAUCGAAUCUUUGAACGCAUAUUGCGCUCUCUGGUAUUCCGGAGAGCAUGCUUGUUUGAGUAUCAGUAAACACCUCAACUCCCUUUUCUUUUUUGAAAUUGGAGCUGGACUUGAGUGAUCCCAACGCUUUCUUCCAAGAAAGUGGCGGGUUGCUUGAAAUGCAGGUGCAGCUGAACUUUUCUCUGAGCUAUAAGCAUAUCAAUAAGCGGAGGA
rnacentral:misc_RNA from 1 species